GAGAGAGCUGAGUGGUAUUGUGUGUUCUGUGUUGUGUUUCUGCUGAGGACUACGGUCCAGGUUCUGUGUUGUGUUUCUGCUGAGGACUACGGUCCAGGUUCUGUGUUGUGUUUCUGCUGAGGACUACGGUCCAGGUUCUGUGUUGUGUUUCUGCUGAGGACUACGGUCCAGGUUCUGUGUUGUGUUUCUGCUGAGGACUACGGUCCAGGUUCUGUGUUGUGUUUCUGCUGAGGACUACGGUCCAGGUUCUGUGUUGUGUUUCUAGUGUCUGAGGACUACGGUCCAGGUUCUGUGUUGUGUUUCUGCUGAGGACUACGGUCCAGGUUCUGUGUUGUGUUUCUGCUGAGGACUACGGUCCAGGUUCUGUGUUGUGUUUCUGCUGAGGACUACGGUCCAGGUUCUGUGUUGUGUUUCUGCUGAGGACUACGGUCCAGGUUCUGUGUUGUGUUUCUAGUGUCUGAGGAGUUCAGUCAUGUUUCUCAGAGCAGCGAGGACAGAUUGUCAUAUUCCCAG